GACGAACGCUGGCGGCGUGCUUAACACAUGCAAGUCGAACGAAGUGGCGAACGGGUGAGUAAUACGUGGGUAACCUGCCCUCCUUUUUGGGAUAAGCCUUGGAAACGGGGUCUAAUACCGAAUAAAGGGGGAUGGGCUCGCGGCCUAUCGGCGUGUUGGUGGGGUGAUGGCCUACCAAGGCGGUGACGGGUAGCCAGCCUGAGAGGGUGACCUGGCACAGAGAGACGGGGCAACGGCCCAGACGAGGACGGAGGGGGGCAGUGGGGGAUAUGGAAGAAUGGGUGAUCGCCUGAUGCAGCGACGCCGCGUGAGGGAUGAAGGCUGUCAGGUUGUAAUCCUCUUGCGCUAUCGAACGGGUAGGUGAAGAAGAAGCGCCGGCUAACUACGUGCCAGCAGCCGCGGUAAUUC
rnacentral:rRNA from 1 species